UGCUUAAUACAUGCAAGUCGAACGAGGCCCUUCUAGUCUUCGGACAGGAAGGUGUCCUAGUGGCGAACGGGUGAGUAACGCGUUGGUGACCUGCCCCGAAGUGGAGGACAACAGUUCGAAAGGACUGCUAAUACUCCAUGUGAUGAGAGAGAUUAGAAGCUUUUUCAUUAAAGGAUUUAUUCGCUUCGGGAGGGGCCUGCGUCCCAUCAGCUAGUUGGUAAGGUAACGGCUUACCAAGGCAAUGACGGGUAGGGGACCUGAGAGGGUGGCCCCCCACAAUGGAACUGAAACACGGUCCAUACACCUACGGGUGGCAGCAGUAGGGAAUAUUGGUAAUGGGCGAAAGCCUGAACCAGCAACACCGCGUGUGCGAUGAAGGCCUUCGGGUCGUAAAGCACUUUUUGAGGGGAUGACAAUGACAGUACCCUUAGAAUAAGUCUCGGCUAACUAC
rnacentral:rRNA from 1 species